GUAGGUGGCAAGCGUUGUCCGGAAUUAUUGGGCGUAAAGCGCGCGCAGGUGGUUCUUUAAGUCUGAUGUGAAAGCCCCCGGCUCAACCGGGGAGGGUCAUUGGAAACUGGGGAACUUGAGUGCAGGAGAGGAAAGUGGAAUUCCACGUGUAGCGGUGAAAUGCGUAGAUAUGUGGAGGAACACCAGUGGCGAAGGCGACUUUCUGGCCUGUAACUGACACUGAGGCGCGAAAGCGUGGGGAGCAAACAGGGAUUAGAUACCCUGGUAGUCCACGCCGUAAACGAUGAGUGCUAAGUGUUGGGGGGGUUUCCCGCCCCUCAGUGCUGCAGCUAACGCAUUAAGCACUCCGCCUGGGGAGUGCGGUCGCAAGACUG
rnacentral:rRNA from 1 species